rnacentral:rRNA from 1 species
AGAGUUUGAUCCUGGCUCAGGACGAACGCUGGCGGCGUGCCUAACACAUGCAAGUCGAGCGAGGAGAGUUCCUUCGGGAACAAACCUAGCGGCGGACGGGUGAGUAACACGUGGGCAACCUGCCUUGUAGAGGGGAAUAGCCUUCCGAAAGGAAGAUUAAUACCGCAUAAUAUUGCACUUUCGCAUGAAAGAGUAAUUAAAGGAGCAAUCCGCUACAAGAUGGGCCCGCGGCGCAUUAGCUAGUUGGUGAGGUAACGGCUCACCAAGGCGACGAUGCGUAGCCGACCUGAGAGGGUGAUCGGCCACAUUGGGACUGAGACACGGCCCAG